rnacentral:rRNA from 1 species
ACGAACGCUGGCGGCACGCUUAACACAUGCAAGUCGAACGAGAGAAGAGGAGCUUGCUUUUCUGAUCUAGUGGCGGACGGGUGAGUAACACGUGAGCAAUCUGCCUUUCAGAGGGGGAUACCGAUUGGAAACGAUCGUUAAUACCGCAUAACAUAAUUGAACCGCAUGAUUUGAUUAUCAAAGAUUUAUCGCUGAAAGAUGAGCUCGCGUCUGAUUAGCUAGUUGGUAAGGUAACGGCUUACCAAGGCGACGAUCAGUAGCCGGACUGAGAGGUUGAUCGGCCACAUUGGGACUGAGACACGGCCCAGACUCCUACGGGAGGCAGCAGUGGGGAAUAUUGCACAAUGGAGGAAACUCUGAUGCAGCGAUGCCGCGUGAGGGAAGAAGGUUUUAGGAUUGUAAACCUCUGUCUUCAGGGACGAAAAAUGACGGUACCUGAGGAGGAAGCUCCGGCUAACUACGUGCCAGCAGCCGCGGUAAUACGUAGGGAGCGAGCGUUGUCCGGAAUUACUGGGUGUAAAGGGAGCGUAGGCGGGAUCGCAAGUCAGAUGUGAAAACUAUGGGCUUAACCCAUAAACUGCAUUUGAAACUGUGGUUCUUGAGUGAAGUAGAGGUAAGCGGAAUUCCUAGUGUAGCGGUGAAAUGCGUAGAUAUUAGGAGGAACAUCAGUGGCGAAGGCGGCUUACUGGGCUUUAACUGACGCUGAGGCUCGAAAGCGUGGGGAGCAAACAGGAUUAGAUACCCUGGUAGUCCACGCCGUAAACGAUGAUUACUAGGUGUGGGGGGACUGACCCCUUCCGUGCCGCAGCAAACGCAAUAAGUAAUCCACCUGGGGAGUACGACCGCAAGGUUGAAACUCAAAGGAAUUGACGGGGGCCCGCACAAGCAGUGGAGUAUGUGGAUUAAUUCGAAGCAACGCGAAGAACCUUACCAGGUCUUGACAUCGUAUGCAUAGCUCAGAGAUGAGUGAAAUCUCUUCGGAGACAUAUAGACAGGUGGUGCAUGGUUGUCGUCAGCUCGUGUCGUGAGAUGUUGGGUUAAGUCCCGCAACGAGCGCAACCCUUACUGUUAGUUGCUACGCAAGAGCACUCUAGCAGGACUGCCGUUGACAAAACGGAGGAAGGUGGGGAUGACGUCAAAUCAUCAUGCCCCUUAUGACCUGGGCCUCACACGUACUACAAUGGCUGUCAACAGAGGGAAGCAAAGCCGCGAGGUGGAGCAAACCCCUAAAAGCAGUCUUAGUUCGGAUUGUAGGCUGCAACCCGCCUACAUGAAGUCGGAAUUGCUAGUAAUCGCAGAUCAGCAUGCUGCGGUGAAUACGUUCCCGGGCCUUGUACACACCGCCCGUCACGCCAUGGGAGUCGGUAACACCCGAAGCCUGUAGUCUAACCGCAAGGAGGACGCAGUCGAAGGUGGGAUUGAUGACUGGGGUG